CAGCUCCUGUCACGUACCCCCUAGCUUGCUCAAUCAGUCACGACCCUCUCGUGUGAAACCUUUAGCAUUGUGAGCUCUUAAAAGGGACAGAAAUUGUGCACUCAGGGAGCUCGGAUUUUAAGACGCUAGUCUGCCAACACUUCCAGCUGAAUAAAGCCCCUUCCUUCUACAACUUGGUGUCUGAGGGGUUUUGUCUGUGGCUUGUCCUGCUACAUUUCUUGGUUCCCUGACUGGGAAAUGAGGUGAUUAACUGACAGACGGUCGAGGCAGCUCCUUAGGUGGCUUACACUUCCCUGUGGAGCAUCCCUGCGGGGGACUCUGGCCAGCUUGAGCAAUGCGGAUCCUGAAAGGGCUCCUGGGUAGGCCUUUUCCCCGGUGGAACACAUCAUCAGAGCGGUGCAUGGCAGGUCCCCACAGAGGAUCAACGUAGUUGCUGAACACCAGGAAGGAGCUGGCACUUGGAGUUCGGACAUCUGAAACUCGAGGAACGCAAAAACAGAGAAUUUUGUCGGGAUCAUGGGACUAGAUUGCAACUCUGGACAGAGCAGCAUGUGGAGGCUUGCACUGUGCAUUUUAGCUCCAGAUCAACUGCAAGAACAAACGGGCAAUACUGAGAGGACUCACAGACCCUCUGAAGGAAGUGGACUGCUCCUGCAGGACCCCAGAGACACCCCCUGGGAGGUGGAAAGUAUCCAGCAAGUUUUCAAGCCUGUCUCACCCUCUGCCUGGAAACAGACUCGGGGCUGUUGUGGGCUGCACAGUGGGACUGAGAAUGGCCCUCUGGUUUAUGUGGCAGCUGGGUGAGGCCUGUGACUGCUGAUUUUCCCCCACUUCCCUGACAACCUGCAUGACCCAGCAGAGACAGCCACAGUCCUCCUAGGUACACAAUUCCUGUGACUUGGGAAUCUCAACCCCAUCCCCCACAGCAGCUGCAGCAAGACCAGCCCAAGGAGACUCUGAGCUCAGACAUGCCUAGCCCCACCCCCACCUGAUGGUCUUUCCCUACCCAUCCUGGUAGCAGAAGACAAAGGGCAUAUAAUCUUGGGAGUUCUAGGGCCCCACCCACUGCUGGUUGUUCUCCACAGUACUACAGCUGAUGCUAUCUGGAAAGCACUACCUCCUGGCAGGAGACAACCAGCACAAUAAUAGAGCAUUAAACCACCAAAGUUAAGGACCCUCACAAAGUCCACUGCACCUUCUGCCACCUCCACCAGAACAGGCACUGAUAUCUACAGGUGAGAGACCCAUAGAGAGUUCACAUCACAGGACUCUGUGCAGACCCCAGUACCAGUCCAGAGCUGGGUAGACUCACUGGGUGGCUAGAUCCAGAAGAGAAACAACAAGCACUGCAGUUCGGCUCACAGGAAGCCACAUCCACAGAAAAACGGGGAGAGUACAACAUCAAGGGAACAAUCCGUGGGACAAAAAAUCCUGAACAACAGCCUUCAGCCCUAGACUGUCAGGCUUCUGAGCCGAAGCUCAGCCAUUGUAACCCCUGUGACCUGCACAUAUAUGUCCAGAUGGCCUGCAAGAGCCAAGAAGUCUGGGGCAACCCAAAACUACAGAAGAAGUAAAACAGCCAGCUCUUGUCUUAACUGAUUGACCAACCUUACAACAUUCCAUUAUGACUUGUUCCUGCCCUGCCCCAACUGAUUGAUCAACCUCGUGACAUUCUUCUUCUGGGCAAUGAGUCUUAUGAUCUCCCCACCAUGCACCUUGUGACUCCCUCCUCUGCUGACUGUAACUUUCCACUGCUUACCCCAGUCCUAUAAAACUGCCCCACCCCUAUCUCCCUUUGCUGACUCCUUUUUCGGACUCAGCCCACCUGCAUCCAGGUGAAAUAAACAGCUUUAUUGCUCACAGAAAGCCUGUUUGGUGGACUCUCUUCACACGGACGCAUAUGACAUUUGGUGCCAAAGACCUGGGACAGGAGGACUCCUUCGGGAGACCGUUCCCAUCCUCGCCCUCACUUCGUGAGGAGAUACAUCUAUGACUUCAGGUCCUCAGACCAACCAGCCCAAGGAACAUCUCAUCAAUUUCAAAUCAGGUAAACAGUCUUUUCACUCCCUUCUCCAGCCUCUCUCGCUACCCUUCAAUCACCCUGUCCUUCCAAUUCCAGUUCUUUUUCCUCUCUAGUAGAGAUAAAGGAGACACAUUUUAUCUGUGGACCCAAAACUCCGGUGCCAGUCACGGACUCGGGAAGACAGUCUUCCCUUGGUGCCUAAUCACUGCGGGGACCCC
rnacentral:lncRNA from 1 species